CGCCCGUCCCCUUCCUCCCUCGCGUCACCCUCCUCUCUACAGCCGCAGCUGAGCGCCACCAUCGCCGUGUCGCCAUGGCCACCGGCUACCCCGCGUCACUGGAGCAUGUCCAGGAGGCACAUAGGCGUCGCCUUCAUCGAAUACGACACCGGACCGAGGCGGGGAAACCUCAUCGGCACCGCCGUCGGCUAGUCUUCUUCAUCGGCCUCCGCCACUUCUCGCCAAUGAUUCAUCGCCCAGGUCCACCCCCGGCUCCCCGAGCUCCCCUCUGGCCUCUCGUUGCUGCGAUCAGAUGGUGGAUCCUAGGAGCCAGAUGCCACCACUGACGACUAUUACUACUCCCCAAGGGUGCCAACUACUACAUGGAGACCGCCGACGACCAAGAGUAGUUAGGAGGUUCCCAGGCAGGAGGCCUUGCCUUUUUGAUCUAUGAUGAUUUUGUGCUAGCCUUCUUAAGGCAAACUUGUUUAACUUAUGUAUGUACUCAGAUAUUCUUUCUUUCGCUGACUCGUUUAUAUUCGAGCUUAUGUAUUCAAGCCCUCGAGGCCCCUGGCUUGCAAUGUAAGGUUUGUAUUAUUUUAAUUUGUGUUUAGAGUUGUGUUGUGAUA